rnacentral:rRNA from 1 species
GUGCCAGCCGGCGCGGUAAUACCGGCAGCUCAAGUGAUGUCCCAUAUUAUUGGGCCUAAAGCGUCCGUAGCUGGCCGACCAAGUCUCCCGGGAAAUCCACCCGCCCAACGGGUGGGCGUCCGGUAGAAACUGGCCGGCUUGGAACCGGAAGAGCCAAGGGGUACGUCCGGGGUAGGAGUGAAAUCCCGUAAUCCUGGACGGACCACCGAUGGCGAAAGCACCUUGGAAGGACGGAUCCGACAGUGAGGGACGAAAGCUAGGGUCUCGAACCGGAUUAGAUACCCGGGUAGUCC